rnacentral:rRNA from 1 species
AGUGAACGCUGGCGGUAGGCCUAACACAUGCAAGUCGAACGGCAGCACAGGAGAGCUUGCUCUCUGGGUGGCGAGUGGCGGACGGGUGAGGAAUACAUCGGAAUCUACUCUGUCGUGGGGGAUAACGUAGGGAAACUUACGCUAAUACCGCAUACGACCUACGGGUGAAAGCAGGGGACCUUCGGGCCUUGCGCGAUUGAAUGAGCCGAUGUCGGAUUAGCUAGUUGGCGGGGUAACGGCCCACCAAGGCGACGAUCCGUAGCUGGUAUGAGAGGAUGAUCAGCCACACUUGACCUUAGACACGUUCCAGACUCCUACGGGAGGCAGCAGUGGGGAAUAUUGGACAAUGGGCGAAAGCCUGAUCCAGCCAUACCGCGUGGGUGAAGAAGGCCUUCGGGUUGUAAAGCCCUUUUGUUGGGAAAGAAAUCCAGCUGGCUAAUACCCGGUUGGGAUGACGGUACCCAAAGAAUAAGCACCGGCUAACUUCGUGCCAGCCGCCGCGGUAA